rnacentral:lncRNA from 1 species
UGCACUCUUGGCUGCAGGCUCCCAUGCCACCGUCUGCCAUCAUCUGCCUGUCUCCCAAGGGAGUCCCAGGAGAAUAAUUGGCUUAAAGGUCCAGGAGAGAGGAGAACACUGGGGCCAGAAGGAAAUCGGUCUCUAGGUGAAUGGGAUAGAAGGAUGGGAAUAGAGUUUCUAUGCAUAACUCCAACUGUACGGAACAGAUUUUACUCUGGAGUCUGAGGGCCAUGCUACCCUCCCAGACCGGAUGGGAGGAUGCUGAAGACUGCCUGGGCCCAGGAAGGUGGCACACGUAGCCCAGAAGAGCAUUGGCUUCGGAGCCUGGGACCAGGCCAGCACUUGGGAAAAAUUGGAAGCCAGAAGCCCAACCCUGGUCCCAGUGGACUUAUAUUGCUGAAGCUGUCACAGGCGGCCCCUGCCCGCCUCAAAAUGCUGCUUGUGGCUGGGGAGAGCAGCCAAGCCAACAGCCACGCUGCAGGAGCUUGCAGGAAAGCAGGAAGACAAAAGAUGGAGCGUCGAACACAACGAAGACUCAGAUGUCACCAAGGAGUCAACAUGGGGCCAGGACUGAGGUCUAUCAGCAUCCACCUCUUGGAACUACCACCUACCCCAAGACCAGCCCUACCCCUGGGCUGUCCAGAUGCACCGUGCCAGCUGCCAGUCAGGACCCAGUGCAAGCUUUCGCACACUGGGAGAGGGAACGCUGGCACCUUCCCAAGGGUUUGCCGGAAGGGAGCUGGAGGGGCAGCGGGACGGAGAGGAAGAGGCUGCAUUACAGGCAAACUGGAGACAAUCCGGGAAACUCCCAGAAACCCCAGCACAAACUGCGGAGAGAGCCUGCGUGAUCCAUAGAGGCCUACAUGACCUCACGAAGGCCCAGCGGCUGCUGGCUUCCAAAAGCCGGGGAAGUUGAUAGCGGUCAACUCUGCACCUCUGUGUCCUUACUGGCAACUGAAGCAGAGGCACAGGGGCAGGGGCGAGGGGCUCAGGUCAGACCUCUAGGGGACAUGGAAAGGGCAGAAGACCUUAGAGCAUUCAGAAGCUAGGCUGGGCAGGUGGACAUCUGCUGGCAUCACCUGCCUGGGCACAGCCAUUCAAAGCCCCUUUGAGCAAGGUGACGGGGAACAGACUUGCUAACUGCUCACAUCGGGCUUCUCUGAGUUGCCUUCACUCACUCAGAUGUUGGAGACCUUGACUCCUCACCUAAUGUAUAGAAUCUUGGCAUUUUAGGACUGCAUGCAACAUCAUUCUCCCUUGCUCUAACCUUUGCGAGAACACUGAACACGGUGCCUGGCUCUGAGUAAGGGCUCAUUUACAGUCCCUAUCCCAACCGUGCAUCCCAGGAGGCCUGGGUGGCAACCUUCACCAGGAAUGCAAUAGCUUCCUCCUUGCUCUUCCAGCCAAAUCCCCUUCCCUUCACUCAGCCCAAAUAAGGUUGGACUUUUUCAAAGUGUUUACUAGGAAACUAAGAAAAAAACAAAGCAAAACUGAAGGCAAGUGACGGAGGCUGAGGAACUAUUACAGAAUUCCAGAAUUUACCAACAAUCUUGGGUCAAAGCAGCCAACCCAAAUCCCCCAGGAUUUUUUUGUUUUUUUUGGAGACAUGCUUCUUAGUUCUUAUUCUUAUUUUAUUAUUCUAAUCCUCAUUCUCAUUACUAUUUUUUGCUAAUAUUGUUGAGCAUAUGCCAUGUGCCAAGCACUCUGCAAUGUGAUCAAGCAUUGUUUUAUCAGGCUCAAUCAACAUGUUCAUAUAUCAUUUUAUCAGGC